rnacentral:rRNA from 1 species
CUAAUACAUGCAAGUCGGACGGGAUCUAAGAUUAAGCUUGCUUAAUUUUAGUGAGAGUGGCGCACGGGUGCGUAACGCGUGAGCAACCUACCCAUAUCAGGGGGAUAGCCCGGUGAAAAUCGGAUUAACACCGCAUGACACAGCGACUCGGCAUCGAGAUGUUGUUAAAUAUUUAUAGGAUAUGGAUGGGCUCGCGUGACAUUAGCUAGUUGGUAAGGUAACGGCUUACCAAGGCAACGAUGUCUAGGGGCUCUGAGAGGAGAAUCCCCCACACUGGUACUGAGACACGGACCAGACUCCUACGGGAGGCAGCAGUAAGGAAUAUUGGUCAAUGGAGGGAACUCUGAACCAGCCAUGCCGCGUGCAGGAUGACUGCCCUAUGGGUUGUAAACUGCUUUUGUCCAGGAAUAAACCCCUCUACGUGUAGAGGCUUGAAUGUACUGGAAGAAUAAGGAUCGGCUAACUCCGUGCCAGCAGCCGCGGUAAUACGGAGGAUCCGAGCGUUAUCCGGAUUUAUUGGGUUUAAAGGGUGCGUAGGCGGCCUAUUAAGUCAGGGGUGAAAGACGGCAGCUUAACUGUCGCAGUGCCUUUGAUACUGAUGGGCUUGAAUGUGGUUGAAGAUGGCGGAAUGAGACAAGUAGCGGUGAAAUGCAUAGAUAUGUCUCAGAACUCCGAUUGCGAAGGCAGCUGUCUAAGUCAUUAUUGACGCUGAUGCACGAAAGCGUGGGGAUCGAACAGGAUUAGAUACCCUGGUAGUCCACGCCCUAAACGAUGAUAACUCGAUGUUGGCGAUAUACCGUCAGCGUCUUAGCGAAAGCGUUAAGUUAUCCACCUGGGGAGUACGCCCGCAAGGGUGAAACUCAAAGGAAUUGACGGGGGCCCGCACAAGCGGAGGAGCAUGUGGUUUAAUUCGAUGAUACGCGAGGAACCUUACCCGGGCUUGAAAGUUACUGAAUUAUCUAGAGAUAGAUAAGUCCUUCGGGACAGGAAACUAGGUGCUGCAUGGCUGUCGUCAGCUCGUGCCGUGAGGUGUUGGGUUAAGUCCCGCAACGAGCGCAACCCCUAUGUUUAGUUGCCAGCAUGUAAUGAUGGGGACUCUAAACAGACUGCCAGCGUAAGCUGUGAGGAAGGUGGGGACGACGUCAAGUCAUCAUGGCCCUUACGUCCGGGGCUACACACGUGCUACAAUGGAUGGUACAGCGGGCAGCUACACAGUAAUGUGAUGCUAAUCUCGAAAAGCCAUUCACAGUUCGGAUUGAGGUCUGCAACUCGACCUCAUGAAGUUGGAUUCGCUAGUAAUCGCGUAUCAGCAAUGACGCGGUGAAUACGUUCCCGGGCCUUGUACACACCGCCCGUCAAGCCAUGAAAGUUGGGGGUGCCUAAAGCAUGUAACCGCAAGGAG